AAAAGCGGUGGAUAUUCUUGAGUCCAUUUUUUCGACAAUCAGACCACAUGUUUUUGUCAGCAACCAGCUUCAGGAGGGCGUCUGCUAUAGCUUUCUGAUCAUGCGGGUCAACCAGGAGACCAUUGUUAAGUGCCUGGUCCCCCGUUCUUUGUGGCAACAAUUGGAAGACCAUAUGCAGCUGCCUGCAAGGAUUCUGUCUUUGCAACAUUUGAGAACAGAACACAGAGACAUACCUCAAUAAGUGUGAGACCGAAUGGUUCCACAAGUGCUGGAUUUAUGAAAACUCCCUUCAACAGACAAAGCCACGAUAGAAGAACUAUUAGCAGAUUUAUCCUUGCAAGGAAGAGGAAAGAGUUGGAGUGUGUCUAACUUCUAGUUGUUAAUCUAAGGUGAUAUUUUCUGCUCACAUGGAGUCGCAUAGAUUGAUCCGGCAACACAAGGAUAACAAGCCUCAGGCAUGUUGUCAAUGAAAGUGUGUUUUCUUAUUCAAUAGAUCAUUGUUUGUUAAGUACCGAAGCUUGUCACCCAUUUAUAACUAUUUAGAUGCAUUGAAUGUGAAAAUUCUAACCUACCAGCCAAUAUGGAUACCUUGUUUUUGUAGACCAAGGGGAAUAUGGACAAUUUACCUUCGUUUUUGCAGCCAGACGAUAAAUUUCAGGAACUUCAGAUUGCUUAUGAUGCUUUGGAUAAGCCACCUGACCGUACAAGUCAUACUUGUCGAUGAGCUUUAGAACAGUGCUAGCUCUCGCAGAGGCUGGCACUCCCCAAAUGCCUUGAGCAAUGUGGUGACAUUUUUCUUUGGGUCAGGACGAGACAAUGCAAGUAUGGUUGGCUUGUGGGGGUUUGUGAAAAAUCUCAUGAUCUGAAAGGGAAAA